CACUUGCAGUUCCUCAAUUCUCUCAUGUCUGGUGUAGAAUCGGGAACCUAGAGGAUGCUUCAAAAUUGCCUAGGGAAGGAAGGAACAGAGGAGAGGGGUCGGGACACGAGGAAAGGGGAAAGGGACGAUCGGGGAUGACUCCUCUCCAGGCCGCGGAGCGAUGCCAACCAAGGCUGUGCGCCCGCCCCGGGCAUUACAGGACGCAGGACCCCCUCCUCCAGAGGUCCUCAGCAAAGCACCCCCGCAUAGAUCAAUUCAUUCAUUCAACAAAUGAAUAUUUGAUGGAAGAGGCUCCAGAUGGAGGGAAGAGCCAGUGCAAUGCCUCAAAAUGGAGACAUGGUGUAUUAAUGGAGAAGCAGCAGGACUUGUGAAAGCCUGGGACGAGGGCUUGGGGUUUUAUUCUCAAUAUGAUAGAAAAUGAUUCAAGGCUGAGAGCAGGAGAGUGGCAGGAUAUACUGACUUAUUUAAAUCUCACUGUCUCCCACAAAGAACAAGUUUUAUCUCUCCUCAUGCUCCUGAGAGAAGAAUGUACUGCUUAUCUACCAUCAUUUCUGCAUCCAUCGAAACAUCUGGGUUUACCUGAAAAGAAAUUAUAUAAAACUUUCAGUGUUUUCUAAUAAAAAUGCAAUGAAUACA